UUCAGAUUUCAUAAAUAAAAAGAAAAUUUCUUGAAACAUUUUUUUGAGAGGAUUAAUAUUCAACAGCAUAGUGAAUUGCUCAAAGGCAAAAAAAAAAGUUCAUUAGACCACAUUCAUUCUGUGUCAGAAACCUAUGCUGUGUCAACUAUUUAAUCACAAUCCAAAUUUAGAGCUGUAUCCAGCUUGAAUGUUGUGUCCAUACUUGCCCCAACCGUUCAGGGUUCAACCUCUGCGGUCGUAUAAAGCUGCGCACUGCGGAGCAUCUGGUUUUUCUU
rnacentral:lncRNA from 1 species